CAAGUCGAACGGUGAACACGGAGCUUGCUCUGUGGGAUCAGUGGCGAACGGGUGAGUAACACGUGAGCAACCUGCCCUGGACUCUGGGAUAAGCGCUGGAAACGGCGUCUAAUACUGGAUAUGAGACGUGGCCGCAUGGUCAACGUUUGGAAAGAUUUUUCGGUCUGGGAUGGGCUCGCGGCCUAUCAGCUUGUUGGUGAGGUAAUGGCUCACCAAGGCGUCGACGGGUAGCCGGCCUGAGAGGGUGACCGGCCACACUGGGACUGAGACACGGCCCAGACUCCUACGGGAGGCAGCAGUGGGGAAUAUUGCACAAUGGGCGAAAGCCUGAUGCAGCAACGCCGCGUGAGGGAUGACGGCCUUCGGGUUGUAAACCUCUUUUAGCAGGGAAGAAGCGAGAGUGACGGUACCUGCAGAAAAAGCACCGGCUAACUACGUGCCAGCAGCCGCGGUAAUACGUAGGGUGCAAGCGUUAUCCGGAAUUAUUGGGCGUAAAGAGCUCGUAGGCGGUUUGUCGCGUCUGCUGUGAAAUCUGGGGGCUCAACCCCCAGCCUGCAGUGGGUACGGGCAGACUAGAGUGCGGUAGGGGAGAUUGGAAUUCCUGGUGUAGCGGUGGAAUGCGCAGAUAUCAGGAGGAACACCGAUGGCGAAGGCAGAUCUCUGGGCCGUAACUGACGCUGAGGAGCGAAAGGGUGGGGAGCAAACAGGCUUAGAUACCCUGGUAGUCCACCCCGUAAACGUUGGGAACUAGUUGUGGGGUCCAUUCCACGGAUUCCGUGACGCAGCUAACGCAUUAAGUUCCCCGCCUGGGGAGUACGGCCGCAAGGCUAAAACUCAAAGGAAUUGACGGGGACCCGCACAAGCGGCGGAGCAUGCGGAUUAAUUCGAUGCAACGCGAAGAACCUUACCAAGGCUUGACAUAUACGAGAACGGGCCAGAAAUGGUCAACUCUUUGGACACUCGUAAACAGGUGGUGCAUGGUUGUCGUCAGCUCGUGUCGUGAGAUGUUGGGUUAAGUCCCGCAACGAGCGCAACCCUCGUUCUAUGUUGCCAGCACGUAAUGGUGGGAACUCAUGGGAUACUGCCGGGGUCAACUCGGAGGAAGGUGGGGAUGACGUCAAAUCAUCAUGCCCCUUAUGUCUUGGGCUUCACGCAUGCUACAAUGGCCGGUACAAAGGGCUGCAAUACCGUGAGGUGGAGCGAAUCCCAAAAAGCCGGUCCCAGUUCGGAUUGAGGUCUGCAACUCGACCUCAUGAAGUCGGAGUCGCUAGUAAUCGCAGAUCAGCAACGCUGCGGUGAAUACGUUCCCGGGUCUU
rnacentral:rRNA from 1 species